AUAUCAAUGAGCGGAGGAAAAGAAACUAACAAGGAUUCCCCUAGUAACGGCGAGUGAAGCGGCAACAGCUCAAAUUUGAAAUCUGGCCCUCGGGUCCGAGUUGUAAUUUGUAGAGUAUGCUUUUGGCGCGGCGCCUUCUGAGUUCCCUGGAACGGGACGCCACAGAGGGUGAGAGCCCCGUACGGUCGGACGCCAAGCCAGUGUAAAGCUCCUUCGACGAGUCGAGUAGUUUGGGAAUGCUGCUCAAAAUGGGAGGUAAAUUUCUUCUAAGGCUAAAUACCGGCCAGAGACCGAUAGCGCACAAGUA
rnacentral:rRNA from 1 species